rnacentral:lncRNA from 1 species
GAGUGAGACCCUGUCUCUAAUACAUAAAUAAAUAAAAACAAAGAUUCUUAAUACCCUUUACCUUUUUCAUUAGGAAAUAUUUUAUUAGGAAAUUUAUUAGGAAAUAUUUCAUUAGUGAAGGAAAGUCUCACUUUUUAAACUUGACUUUGACCAACACUCUGUUCUCAUGACUUAUGUCCCUUUAAUACCUAAAUCAUUUGCCUAGCUAAUUGGGCCUGCACCAGUGUGUACUGUUAGAUCCCAUGGAACGUUGACCUGACAGGUGUUCUAUUUGUCAGGCAGGGCUUUCCUUGGCUUCCCUUUUAUCAUUUCUUCUUCCUGCUUCUUCAAGAGACUUAUGACUCUCUGUCAUAAGCUCUCAGUUAUAGAACAGAGCUAUACAUAAAACGUGCAUAUACACAAAUGGGUAAGGAGUAUACCUGCACUAAAUAAUUCUUUCUCUCUGAAACUCAAUAACAACUGGCCUCUUGUCUGAAAAACAUCAGGACUCUUGCACUAAAGACCAGGCAGCCAUCCAGCUGUGCCCAGUUGCUAUUUUUUGGUAUCCAUUCUAAGAAGUUAUCAUUUUCAUGAGAAUGAAAAUGUUGUACCACAGAAAUUUUAACUUUGGAAAGCAACUCUUUGGAGUUCUAAUUUCUCGUAGGGCAAUAUUUUUCAGGCUUGUUGGGUUUCUGUGUUUGAACAUCUGAGUUCUCACUUUUAGAGGCUUGUGCUUCCUAGCACUCUAUCCUAUUACACCUAUGCCAGGACUUGGUAGCUAAAGUAUAAGCUGAAAUAAUUAUGUCGUUAAUUCAUGCUAAAACCUGUCUUACUCCAUUUAGCAAGUUUUAUUUUGAUAUAUCCAUACAAUCACUUCAAAUCACUACUUCAUUUUGGCAAUGCUAAAUUGUUUAUACAACGCUACUGUUCAUGCUCAUCCUGCAGAACAGCUAGUGAAGUAUGUCUGUAACCAUAUGGCUUGUUGUUAUCAUAUCAUUAUACCUCAUUUAAUAACAGUUCCUAAUAUAUUGGGUAUUGCAUAGAAGACACUCAAAUUUUUUUUUUGUAAGUAAGUACUGUUAACAAGGCAAGCUUCUGUCAGUAGGUUACGCUAAUAUUCAAUUUGUAUCAUAUUUAGAUAACAUCUUGAAUGUGUAAUUAUUUCUAUUUGACUCAAUGGCCUCGGUUGCUGAUGAGAACCCAAGCUUUGAGAAUCAGAGAUUGGUUCUUUCUUACUAAGUAAAACAAUGCAUUAUUUAUUUUAGAGUUAAUCCAAACUGACAUUUUUAUGACUGCUAUGGACAAAAUGUUUGUAUCUCCCCAAAAUUCAUAUGUUGAAGCCCUAAUCCCCUGUGUGGUUGUUUGGAGAUGAGACCUCUAAGGAAGAAAUUAAGGUUAAGCGAGGUCAUAAUGGUGACAGGCUCUCAUCAAACAGGAUUAGUGUCCUUAUAAAAAGGGACAUCAGAGACCACUGUACUGGCACAUUCUCCAUGUCCAGCCCCUAAACCAAUCCUGCUCACAACUUGAUCUUGGACUUCCAGACUCUGAAAGUCCAGCAAAGACAACUACAUCUAUCUUUGUCCGAUUGGCUCAUAAACAAAGUGGUCAUGGGCAGCAGCGAAGGAAGCUAUGCAUGGGCUAAGCAAUGUUCACUUCCACUCAUCAAAGCUGAUCUGACAACUGCCACUGCUGAGUGCCCAACCUGCUACCUGAGAUGGAUACUGAGCCCCCAGGAGGACCAGCUUGUGACUUGGUAGCAAAAACUCGACUGCCAUGAAACAUUGGGCUCUAAAGGAGAAACAACAAAAGAUACAAAGAGACUGUGGUACAUUUUCUCGUUUAUAUUAAUUUAAAGGGAAAUUGUUUCAUAUGGUUCUGAAACACUAACAAUGCAAUUAAUUCACCAGAAACAGAAAAAAAGUCUUUGUCUUGCUACCAUACUCAAUCAGAUUGAAUAAAGAAAUAGAAGGCAAAUUUGCUAAAGCAAAUUUCUCUUGUCUUUGUGUUGGCAGAAGUCUGUAGUCCCCUUGCUCUGCAUGUUCAA